rnacentral:rRNA from 1 species
CACGUACUGUGCGAACGUUAUUCGGAAUCACUGGGCUUAAAGGGUGCGUAGGCGGUCAAUUAAGUAGGGUGUGAAAGCUCUCGGCUCAACCGAGGAAUUGCGCUCUAAACUGGUUGACUUGAGUGAGAUAGGGGUGUGCGGAACUUCCGGUGGAGCGGUGAAAUGUGUUGAUAUCGGAAGGAACACCAGUAGCGAAGGCGGCACACUGGGUCUUCACUGACGCUGAGGCACGAAAGCUAGGGGAGCGAACGGG